UGCCAGCACGUGAACUCUACAGACCAUUAGCCAAGAGGCAAGUGGACAAGAAACGUGCUAAGAAAGAAAAUAAACCUCAAAAGAAUUAUGGGAAACAAACAAAGCCACUUACAGGUUUCAAAACGGAACAAGAAGUGAACAGCAGAAUCAACACCGCAGAAAAGCACUGACCCAGGGGAACAGUCUUAAGAAAAUAAUCCAGAUCACCAAAAAAGCACAGAUGAAAGCACAGAAGGGAGGCAAAUCGAUGAAGAAAACAGUGAUCAGAGGACGACGUACCAGGUAAGUAACCGGUACUCCUGAGGAUGGGAGCUCAGGGAAUGAACACGAAUCCUAUCCCAAGACACAUCAGCUCACAUGCCUGCAUUAAAACGAGACUGAAAUCUUCAGAUGGAAAUGGCCUCCCAUCCUCGUGACAAAAUUUACGAAAACCACAAUAACUGAGAUUUGCAUCUAUUAUUCUAAAAUGGAAUCAUCUUCUGGCCCCUGUGUCUGUGGCAAAUUGGAUAAAUUUCCCAGUGGGCACUGAUAGAACCGGGGUUCCCAGAAGCAGAGUCUGAGACAUGGUGACCUACUGAGUGCCCUCCAGAGAAAGAGAGUGAAAGACGGUGAGGGAAGGAGCCGAGGAAGGAUGUCGUCAAAACCUGGUCCAGCUUCAGCCUGAUUCCACCUCGGGAGCUCAAAGUAUACCAGAGUGGAUCCCAGCUUGACGCAAGGAGCCAGCACUGGAAGCCUCCAGUAGGGAAGGAAAGGCUGACAUGGUGACGUAAGCAUCAGGUCUACAAGGUGACCGUGGCAGGAUGCUCAGGACUGAAGAACGUGACACAGAUGUUCCAAUCCUGCCUCCACUGCUCAGGACCUAUAGGAACGUGGCCUGUGGGACUCACUGACCCACUUCAAAGACUUAGUCUCAUAUACAAACAGGGCUAUCAACAGCAACUCCCUAAAAGCCUGGCUAUGAGAAUUAAACCCAUCCUAUGUGUAACCAAGCCACAAACGUCAGCUGUUAUCAUUCAUUUACCACCACUGUUUAGUUGUGGUGUGGCGACUAGGUUUUCCACAGCAGUCCCACAUGGAAGGGACACCAGGUACAGAUGUGGGCAGGAGGUGGAGGAGCUGGGUCCAGCACAUUCACAGCCCCGAAUCAGCAGCAGCCCUUCAGGGAGCAGAGAAACAGGUUUACCGGAAAAAUCGGCUGCAGAAAGGACUGACAUGUCUGCUUAUCUCGUCAGCCCUGGUGUGACUGCUGUCGAGCUGAUGCACUCACAGGGCAAGAGCCUUUUCCUGCCAGAUUAGGGUCUGCUCCCGGCCCAGUGCCUGUGAUUUGUCUAAACACAUAUGCUGUCCCUACUGAGAUCUGUGCCAAGCGUUUGGACUCACGGCCUCAUUUCUGUAACUCGUCAAAUGUUAUUUGUUGUACAAACCCAUGGUGAAGCAAAUGCU